UUCAAAUAGCUUGUCCACAUCCCACUCACCAUCUAAGGUACACAACUGAUUUGGUCUUGUUAACAAGCUGCCCAGAUGCAGCUUCAUAUGCCUUCAGCACUUGCAUAAUCAGCAUCAGAGAUGUUUCAUCUGAGGAUGAGAAAAUAAUCAUGUCAUCUGCAUACGCCAAAUGAUUGAUCUUUGGACUCCACUUUGGCAUCCCAAAUCCACAAAAAUACAGAUGCUUGGUUAUGAACUGCUGGACUGUUUGUUG